rnacentral:rRNA from 1 species
AGCAGCCGCGGUAAUUCCAGCUCCAAUAGCGUAUAUUAAAGUUGUUGCAGUUAAAAAGCUCGUAGUUGAAUUUCGGGACUAAUAUGUCGGUCGUACUUUGUACGUACUAGCAUUAUUGGUUUCUCUCUUCCGACGAACCACGAUGUCAUUAAUUUGGUGUCAUGGGAAAUCAGGACUGUUACUUUGAAAAAAUUAGAGUGUUUAAAGCAAGCUCGCGCUUGAAUACAUUAGCAUGGAAUAAUGAAAUAGGACGUUUGAUUCUAUUUUGUUGGUUUCUAGGAUCGACGUAAUGAUUAAUAGGGAUAGUUGGGGGCAUUAGUAUUCAAUUGUCAGAGGUGAAAUUCUUGGAUUUAUUGAAGACUAACUACUGCGAAAGCAUUUGCCAAGGAUGUUUUCAUUAAUCUAAGAACGAAAGUUAGGGGAUCGAAGACGAUCAGAUACCGUCGUAGUCUUAACCAUAAACUAUGCCGACUAGGGAUCGGAUGAUGUUAAUUUUUAAUGACUCAUUCGGCGCCUUACG